UUUCAAGAUGAUAAUAUGUUAACGUGUUGCUUGAAGAUUAACAUCGCUGUAAGCCACAAAAAAGACUACAACGGUAUCUGAAU
rnacentral:snoRNA from 1 species